CACGUAGGGUGCGAGCGUUGUCCGGAAUUAUUGGGCGUAAAGAGCUCGUAGGCGGUGUGUCGCGUCGGCCGUGAAAACUUGCAGCUUAACUGUGGGCGUGCGGUCGAUACGGGCAUCACUGGAGUUCGGCAGGGGAGACUGGAAUUCCUGGUGUAGCGGUGAAAUGCGCAGAUAUCAGGAGGAACACCGGUGGCGAAGGCGGGUCUCUGGGCCGAUACUGACGCUGAGGCGCGAAAGCCAGGGGAGCAAACGGG
rnacentral:rRNA from 1 species